GCAACUUUUGGCCUCUUUCGCCUAAUCUCAGGUCCAAUUUCAGUUUGUGUAGGAUCACCGCCAUUUAAAGGGAUUGAAUGGAUCCGGAGGAAGAGUGGAUGGCCUCAGCUGCCUUGCGCACAACCACUGCUCCCACAGAUGCAGCCAUGAAGCCUCUGAGCUUUCAGACCAAAAACGAAUUCUUCUAAAAUCCCAACCAGACAAACUUAACAUGUCAAGAUUUCUCCAACCUUUGAGGAAAACCAAACGUGGGACAGCAACAGUCCCACUUUUGGGGACAUUCUGUUCCGGAUUCUGAUUCAGACUCUGUUCCGGAUUCUGAUUCUCUCUCCCACCAGAACCAGGUGAAAGUUCAAGGCAGACUAAAGAAAGAGCCCUGCCCCAAGCAGCGUCCCUCAGCAUCUCUGGGAGAUGUCAAUGUUAGAUCGGUCUCCCUACGAAGGGGACACUACCCAGAUGGAACGGGGCAGUGGAAGUCUUGCUAUCCCAGCCUGAAAGUGCUGAGGGCAGAUGCCUGUAUCCCUCAGACCCUUCAGAGAUGCCUCAGCUACAGAGAUACCACCUCAAUCAAGUCUGCACCCCUUCCUGGGAGCCCCACAUUCAGUGACCGAUUAAGGUGCCUCAAGGUAUCUACCUGGAAACAACAGGUCUCUUCAUACUCAAGUACCAUCCUAUACCCUGACCAACACAUGUCAUGACCUACAUGAGAAUGUCAGCAAGGAGACUGGUGACGAUUGGGUGUGCCCUUUCAGCAUUAAGUUCCUCUUCCCCCUCUCCCGGGCCUCCUGCAGACAGUGCUCUUACUUGACUCACCAAGCUCCAACCAGGCUGGGGCCGCUGUGACCCAGGAAAAUGUACCAUCUAUCCUUGGCCUCCAGCAGGUGUGAGAUGGAUCCCAGACGAAUCCAGGGUGCCUACCCCCUGGACCGCCCCACUUCUUCACUGCAUGUCCUACAGCCUGUGACCAGAUGAUUUACUGGCCUGCCAGGGAGGGCCUAUGGCGAAGAGGUAACCUUGGAAUUCUAACCAUUGUUAUCAAAGCCCAUUCCACUGAGCAGGUGUGUGAUCAUCCAGCACCCCCCACCAAGUUACUUUCUCUGUGUCUGGUUUCCUCAUCUGCAACAUGGGGAUAAUAAUCCACCUCAUGGGGUGCCUGUGAGGGUCGCAAGAAUUAACAUGUGUAAAGUAUUUAAUGAAUGUCGACUAUCUCUAUGA